rnacentral:rRNA from 1 species
GACGAACCGUGCGAACGUUGUUCGGAAUCACUGGGCUUAGAGGGCGCGUAGGCGGGUCGAAAAGUCCGUGGUGAAAUCCCCCCGCUCAACGGGGGAACGGCCGCGGAUACUGUCGGGCUCGAGGGGGGUAGGGGCGAGCGGAACGCUGGGUGGAGCGGUGAAAUGCGUUGAUAUCCAGCGGAACUCCGGUGGCGAAGGCGGCUCGCUGGACCUUCACUGACGCUGAGGCGCGAAAGCCAGGGGAGCGAACGGG